AGCAGCCGCGGUAAUUCCAGCUCCAAUAGCGUAUAUUAAAGUUGUUGCAGUUAAAAAGCUCGUAGUUGAAUUUCGGGGUUAGUAGGUUGGUCAUGCCUCUGGUAUGUACUGGUCUCACUGAUUCCUCCUUCCUGAUGAGCCGUAAUGCCAUUAAUUUGGUGUUGCGGGGAAUUUGGACUGUUACUUUGAAAAAAUUAGAGUGUUUAAAGCAAGCUAACGCUUGAAUACAUUAGCAUGGAAUAAUGAAAUAGGACGUUCGAUCCUAUUUUGUUGGUUUCUAGGAUUGACGUAAUGAUUAAUAGGGAUAGUUGGGAGCAUUAGUAUUCAAUUGUCAGAGGUGAAAUUCUUGGAUUUAUUGAAGACUAACUACUGCGAAAGCAUUUGCCAAGGAUGUUUUCAUUAAUCAAGAACGAAAGUUAGGGGAUCGAAGACGAUCAGAUACCGUCGUAGACUUAACCAUAAACUAUGCCGACUAGGGAUCGGAUGAUGUUAAUUUUUUAAUGACUCA
rnacentral:rRNA from 1 species